rnacentral:rRNA from 1 species
GAAUUCGCCCUUAGAGUUUGAUCCUGGCUCAGGACGAACGCUGGCGGCGUGCUUAACACAUGCAAGUCGAACGAGAAUCACCGGAAAGAGGAUUCGUCCAAUGGAAGGUGAGGAAAGUGGCGGACGGGUGAGUAACGCGUGAGGAACCUGCCUUGGAGAGGGGGACAACAGCUGGAAACGGCUGCUAAUACCGCAUAACAUAUCUGAAUCGCAUGGUUUGGAUAUCAAAGAUUUAUCGCUCUGAGAUGGCCUCGCGUCUGAUUAGCUGGUUGGCGGGGUAACGGCCCACCAAGGCGACGAUCAGUAGCCGGACUGAGAGGUUGAACGGCCACAUUGGGACUGAGAUACGGCCCACACUCCUACGGGAGGCAGCAGUGGGGAAUAUUGGGCAAUGGGCGCAAGCCUGACCCAGCAACGCCGCGUGAAGGAAGAAGGCUUUCGGGUUGUAAACUUCUUUUAAGGGGGAAGAGGAGAAGACGGUACCCCUAGAAUAAGCCACGGCUAACUACGUGCCAGCAGCCGCGGUAAUACGUAGGUGGCAAGCGUUGUCCGGAUUUACUGGGUGUAAAGGGCGUGUAGCCGGGUCUGCAAGUCAGAUGUGAAAUCCAUGGGCUUAACCCAUGAACUGCAUUUUGAACUGUGGAUCUUGAGUGCUGGACGGGCAAUCGGAAUUCCUAGUGUAGCGGUGAAAUGCGUAAAUAUUAGGAGGAACACCAGUGGCGAAGGCGGAUUGCUGAACAGUAACUGACGGGGAGGCGCGAAAGUGGGGGGAACAAACAGGAUUAAAUACCCUGGUACUCCCCACCUGAAAAAAAUAAAAACUAGGGGGUGCGGGGGACUGACCCCC